AAUGCCAGUUAGUAUUAUUACUGAAUUAUUUUUUAUGACUGCUAUUUACCAGCUAUGGGGGCGGGGCUCCCUAUGCCUCAGUUUUCUCAUCUGUGAGAUGGGUAAUUGCACUGCUGCCCUCACAGAGUUUCUGUAAGGAUUGAGUUUAAUAUGCAUAAGUGGGGUCUGGAGCAGAGUAGGUACUCAGUGGGGUUUUUUUGAAAAUUUCAAGCAUAGAAUUCAUUUAAUAUAGUACCAGAAGUCGUCACUGAUCUGCGAAUGGUUCCUGUGAAAGCCUUUUAUUAUCUCUCUACUCAAACAAAUGCCCAUUUGGUUUAAUUGAAUUUAAGCAAACAAAUGAGAUAAGAAAGAAAAUCCCCAGCCUCGGGAUAGUUAUUGCAACCCAGCGGGUGAUGAGAGGUACACGUGCUUCUAAUAAAAAGCCGAGGAAGAGCAGCAGGAUUAUAUUAACAUUUCAAGUAAUUACGACUGUGCAGUUGGAUGACCUUGGGCAAGUCCCUACUUUCUCGGACCCUCGGUCUUUUCUUCUCUGCAAUGGGUAUGAGAGCCUCUAACCUGCGGGAUUAUGGUUUGGCUCAAACCCGUCACGGCUGUGGCUUAUGAAGCGCCUCCUGUAUGCCGAGGACUGUUUGUCAUCUCCCCCUCCCUCCCAGGAGGGGAGGUUGGGCACGGGCUGCCCCCCCUCCGCAAGGAGAGGACAGUGAGUUUGGAGACGUGGCUGGAGAUGCCGCUGCAGGAGGGAAGGAAGUGGGGGGCUGGGCAGGCUGGACUGACGCAGCUGUGAUGUCAGCGACAGGCCGCAGGCGGUGGCCGGCCCAGUGUGAACGACAGCCAUCCCCCGGGCCUGGCCUUGCCCACAAGAUUCCCAGAUUUCACAACCGGGGCUGGCGCUGAAUCAUGUACAUCUAAGCUACAGUUUCCUGAUCUGGAGGAUGGGCAUAAUCACACGACUGACCUCCCGGGGCCCGUGCGAGGAUUAAAUGAGGUGAUCCGGCGCUGAGCACAGGCAGUGCCAGACGAGCAGGACUGUUGCUGUUGUGGUGUCAGGUCCCCAGGACACGCUUUGAAAGGCUCCGGAGAAAUCAUUCAGUCCUUGGGGGGAGCCAUCCCCGCUGCCUGCCCCCUAGAACACCCACCCCUUUCCUCGUGACCCAGAUGACUCUUAUUUUUAAAAACGUCUUCAUUA